rnacentral:rRNA from 1 species
AUCCAAGGAUUCCGGGGUAAAGCUGAUCUGCCCCGGGUAAGUCGGGACCUAAGGCGAGGCAGAAAUGCGUAGCCGAUGGACAGCAGGUGGAGAUUCCUGCACUGCCAUAUAUCAGAAAUGUGGGGACGCAUCAGGAAAGUGUGGGCCGGGAAAGGAAAGACCGGUGCAAGCGGAGGAGGGGACAUGCAGGCAAAUCCGCAUGUCAACCCAAGAGCGUUAUGCGGAGCGAAGAACAGUAGCGAAGCACACGGACAGGGUGCCGAGAAAAGCCGCUAUCGUGUAUAUGGUACCCGUACCGUAAACCGACACAGGUGGAUGAGGAGAGAAUCCUAAGGCCGGCGGGAGAAGCAUUGUUAAGGAACUCGGCAAAAUGGCCCCGUAACUUAGGGAUAAGGGGUGCCACAGUGUUGUGGCCGCAGAGAAUAGGCUCAAGCAACUGUUUAGCAAAAACACAGGUCUAUGCGAAACCGAGAGGUGAGGUAUAUGGGCUGACGCCUGCCCGGUGCUGGAAGGUUAAGAGGAGAGGUCAGGAAACGAAGCCUUGAAUUGAAGCCCCAGUAAACGGCGGCCGUAACUAUAACGGUCCUAAGGUAGCGAAAUUCCUUGUCGGGUAAGUUCCGACCCGCACGAAAGGCGUAAUGAUUUGAGCGCUGUCUCGACAAUGCACCCGGUGAAAUUGAAGUACCAGUGAAGAUGCUGGUUACCCGCGCCAGGACGGAAAGACCCCAUGGAGCUUUACUCCAGCUUGAUACUGGGAUCCGGUGUCCAAUGUACAGGAUAGGUGGGAGGCUGAGAGCCAUGAACGCAAGUUUAUGGGGAGCCGCUGUUGGGAUACCACCCUUUGGGUACUGGAUUUCUAACCUGCGCCCGUGACCCGGGCGGGGGACAAUGUCUGGCGGGGAGUUUGACUGGGGCGGUCGCCUCCGAAAGGGUAUCGGAGGCGCUCAAAGGUUCACUCAGAAUGGUCGGAAACCAUUCGGAGAGCGCAAAGGCAGAAGUGAGCCUGACUGUGACACCGACGGGUGGAACAGGUACGAAAGUAGGACUUAGUGAUCCGGUGGUAUAAAGUGGGAUUGCCAUCGCUCAACGGAUAAAAGCUACCCUGGGAUAACAGGCUGAUCACUCCCAAGAGUUCACAUCGACGGAGUGGUUUGGCACCGAUGUCGGCUCAUCGCAUCCUGGGGCUAUAGCAGGUCCCAAGGGUUGGGCUGUUCGCCCAUUAAAGCGGUACGCGAGCUGGGUUCAGAACGUCGUGAGACAGUUCGGUCCCUAUCCGGCGCGGGCGGAGGAUAUCAGAGAGGAGCUGUCCUUAGUACGAGAGGACCGGGAUGGACGGACCGCUGGUGCAUCUGUUGGAUACCAGAUCCAUGGCAGAGUAGCCAAGUCCGGCAGGGAUAAACGCUGAAGGCAUCUAAGCGUGAAGCCCCCCUCAGGAUGAGAUAUCCCAUUCAUAGAGAAUGUAAGACCCCUUAGAGACUAUGAGGUAGAUAGGGCAUGGGUGUAAGUGCAGAGAUGCACUGAGCUGAAUGUCACUAAUAGGUCGAGGGCUUAUCU